GUGAGCAUGUGGUUAAUUCGAUGCAACGCGAAGAACCUUACCUACUCUUGACAUCCAGAGAAUUUGCUAGAGAUAGCUUAGUGCCUUCGGGAACUCUGAGACAGGUGCUGCAUGGCUGUCGUCAGCUCGUGUUGUGAAAUGUUGGGUUAAGUCCCGCAACGAGCGCAACCCUUAUCCUUUGUUGCCAGCGAGUAAUGUCGGGAACUCAAAGGAGACUGCCGGUGAUAAACCGGAGGAAGGUGGGAUGACGUCAAGUCAUCAUGGCCCUUACGAGUAGGGCUACACACGUGCUACAAUGGCAUAUACAAAGAGAAGCGAACUCGCGAGAGCAAGCGGACCUCAUAAAGUAUGUCGUAGUCCGGAUUGGAGUCUGCAACUCGACUCCAUGAAGUCGGAAUCGCUAGUAAUCGUAGAUCAGAAUGCUACGGUGAAUACGUUCCCGGGCCUU
rnacentral:rRNA from 1 species